rnacentral:lncRNA from 1 species
UCUCUCUCAACUUCCAGAAGCUGGCAACUUAGGAAUAAGGGAUGUGAUGUUCGCGGAAGAUCUAACCAGAAUCCAGCAGCACUGUCAGCAUCCUGGUCCAGUGGGUGAAAGCAACAAAUCCUCCUCCUGGGGAGGACCAAAGUACAGAAGCAAUUGUUUUAUUGAUGCACCAAGGCAUUUUAUGUCUCGCAUCCCUAGAAAAAGAACCCCAGGACUUUCCCUUCUGUUUUCGUCAUCUUGGUCCAUGCCAGCGGAAGUUUUCAGUCCAGUGAACUGAAACGGACAAGGUGGCUGGAGAUCUUCUCCCUUUUCCUAGAUAAUUUGGGGCUUGUCACUGCCUGCUUGAUUAACCUGCCUGUGAACAUCAGUGAUUUCGAGUUCACCAAUGGACUCACACUUCAUGGUCACAGUAAGUAACCAGUGGCUGACCUUGGAUCCCAGCCUACCAAGAACCUGGCCUCACCUCUCUUCCCAGCUCUGCUCUUGGGAGCACCGCCAAAACAUUCAGUGCACUCUCAGGGUGGCAGAAGAGCCGAAGGCAACUUUCCUUUUGUGAGUCUUACAGAUUUCUGAAGGCACUAAC